GCCCUUGUGGUGUAGCGGUUUGCACACUCGGCGCGUAUUCGAGAGGUCCAGGUUCGAGUCCCGGCGAGGGCU
rnacentral:tRNA from 1 species